GUUAGAGGUGCAGCAAAAAGUAACAGUUUAUCAGUCAUAAAAGUUGAUGAAGACAUCGAUCUUUCCUGUAAUAAAGUAAUUGAUUUAUCUUUGGAUUCAUGCUCUGAGUCUGAAAGUGAUAGUUGGUGGAUAAAAGACCUGUGUCUCAAGGAAGAAGACAAGUGUGUC